rnacentral:lncRNA from 1 species
GCCACCGAAAGCCUUUUUGCUCCUCUUCCUCCUCCUCCUCCUGUCGGCGCCUUGUUCGGGCUCCAGCUCCAGCUCCUUCGUCCCCUCCACCACCUUCUCCUCCAACCUCCGGUUCGCUUUCAGUGAGAUCCAGAAGCUCACGUCGCUGAUCUCCGGCUCGUCCGGCGUCCUGGGCGGCAACCUCCGCCUCUCCUCGGCCAUCCAUGACUGCCUAGACCUCCUCGACUUCUCCGCUGACGAGCUCACCUGGACCCUCUCCGUCGUCAAUGACCAGCGCGUGAAGACCCCUGCCACCGGGAACCACCGUUACGACAUCCGCUCCUGGCUCAGCGCCGCUGUCGGCAACCAGGACACCUGCAAGGAAGGCCUCGACAGCGCCGGCGGCCCCCUCGGAGGCCUCGCUGCCGGCGGGCUCAAGAUCGUCAGCUCACUCAUUGCCAACAGCCUCCACGAGGUUGCCGCAUCGUCGGGCGGCGGGGGUGGGGGUCGGAGGCUCCUGGGGUUCCCGGAAUGGGUGUCGGCCGGGGACAGGAGGCUUCUGCAGACGCCGGCACCGGUGGAGC